rnacentral:rRNA from 1 species
UACGGGGGGGGGCAAGCGUUGUUCGGAAUUACUGGGCGUAAAGGGCUCGUAGGCGGCCAACUAAGUCAUACGUGAAAUCCCUCGGCUUAACCGGGGAACUGCGUUUGAUACUGGAUGGCUUGAGUUUGGGAGAGGGACGCGGAACUGACGGUGGAGCGGUGAAAUGCGUUGAUAUCAUCAGGAACACCGGAGGCGAAGGCGGCUCACUGGGGGUUAUCUGACGCUGAGGAACGAAAGCCAGGGAGCGAACGGG